CCUACGGGGGGCAGCAGUGAGGAAUAUUGGUCAAUGGACGAGAGUCUGAACCAGCCAAGUAGCGUGAAGGAUGACUGCCCUAUGGGUUGUAAACUUCUUUUAUAUGGGAAUAAAACGUUCCACGUGUGGGAUUUUGUAUGUACCAUAUGAAUAAGGAUCGGCUAACUCCGUGCCAGCAGCCGCGGUAAUACGGAGGAUCUGAGCGUUAUCCGGAUUUAUUGGGUUUAAAGGGAGCGUAGGUGGAUUGUUAAGUCAGUUGUGAAAGUUUGCGGCUCAACCGUAAAAUUGCAGUUGAAACUGGCAGUCUUGAGUACAGUAGAGGUGGGCGGAAUUCGUGGUGUAGCGGUGAAAUGCUUAGAUAUCACGAAGAACUCCGAUUGCGAAGGCAGUUCACUGGACUGCAACUGACACUGAGGCUCGAAAGUGUGGGUAUCAAACAGGAUUAGAUACCCCAGUAGUC
rnacentral:rRNA from 1 species